AUCAGUUCAGUUAACAAGGGGACAGCGUGACACGUUACAAGAUGGCGGCGUUAGUUCCGAUUUUGGCCACGUGACAUAAGAUCCUUGUUGCGCUGUAAUCACUGGUAUUUUAUAGUAGUAUAUUAAAUAAAUUCAAGCAAUUAAAUAUCAUUUGUAUAACAACAUAAUAUUGGGGUCAUAUGCCUCACACGUUUUGUACAUUUUUUUAAUAGGUACCUAAUAAUAUAUUUUGAUGAAAAAUGACUCAUCCGUUUUUUAAAACUUGAAAAAACUAUUGAAAAUAAGUCUUUUGUUCUUAAUUUUCAGAUCUAACUACCUUUUGCUGAUGUAUAAGAACAAUGUCAAAUUAUACUAUGGUAUAUAAUGCCAAUUUUAAGGCAGGUCUACCUAGGCCUAUUCUACGUCACUUUUGUAGCAGAAUUGCAUUUUAUGGUAUCCGUUUCGAUAGGUGACAGAAAGUUGGCGUCUACAGAUAGCACUGAUGCUGUCCAUUCACCUUACGUACGUGAUACCAUGACAACUUGUGCUGAGCUCAUAUCUUCAAAAAAGUAAAGUGAAGUCUUUGGAAGGUAAUAAUGGGUUUUUAUACUCAAGAUUAAGAGCUCGUUCACACAGGCUGCGUAAGCCUAGACGUAGCGCGUACCAUUGUGUUGUAAUGUAUGGAACUGUAACAUAAAACAUGGCAUACCGCUUGCGUGGCGUAACCGCGUCACAAGCGUCACGUGUACGUAAUGCAUACACAAUUGGUGUGAAUCGGCCUUUAAUCAGUGUGCUAGAACUCCAAACGAGACAUCUACUGUGCUGUAAUAUGUUGAAUACUCGCAGGCUGUCCUGGAUGCAGUAUUAGUUCAAAGUUACCAUACUGCAGUCAAAGGAUUGUUUUUGGCCAGCGCAGACCGAGCGCGCUAAGUAACUGCGAGUGGAUAUGCAGGGAGUGGCG